rnacentral:lncRNA from 1 species
UUGAGAUUAUUUUGAGGUGGAUUUCCUAAAUGAGACUUAGCUUGAGUAUGGGAGUAGUAUUUAGCACUGAGCGGGAGGUGUGGGUUAGCGUACCCUACUUCUGCAGAACUAUGUUCACCGUAGGAUUGAGAUUUAUGGGCCUAAGGUCGAGUUUGUGAUCACUGAGUUGAGGUUAUACUCCCAGGCAAGAGUAUGACGCUCCUUCCUAACAUGGGGUUUCUUCCUUAAAAGGACAAAACGUUGGACUCCAUGAUAAGCUCACAUGGUAUAUGUCGGUUAUAAGAAACUCCCAUGGUGUGUGUGUGUCUCUGCUCUAUCUAAGAUAAGUGUGUAUGGUUUGAAUACUAUGAUUUGUGAGAAAGUUCCUUGUUUCCGAAAGAUUGAA